AAGCCAUGAUGGGGGCAUCUUCAAAGAAUAUCUUUGAAUCUCUUAUAUGCUUCAAAUAAUGUUUCCGACUGUCCUUGCUUAAACGCUAAAAUUACGUGCCUUAGCUU